rnacentral:rRNA from 1 species
AACGCACCUUGCGCUCCUUGGUAUUCCGAGGAGCAUGCCUGUUUGAGUGUCAUUAAAUUCUCAACCCCGAUCGGAUUUGUUUUCGAUUCGGAGGCUUGGAUUGUGGAGCGUGCUGGCCCCUACCCGGGUCGGCUCCUCUCAAAUUAAUCAGCCUCCCAGUGUUUGGUGGCAUCACGGGUGUGAUAAAUAUCUACGCCCGCUGUUGUCUGCCAGGUAACCUUUGGUCACAAAGGUUUGCUGGAGCUCACAGAUGUCUCUCCUCAACGAGGACAGCUUUUUUAACGUUCGAUCUCAAAUCAGGUAGGACUACCCGCUGAACUUAA